rnacentral:lncRNA from 1 species
UUGAACGAAUUCCUUGUACAAAAAUAACUGACAUGCCCGCAUAAGGAAAUUCAUAUAUAGAAGACCACAUUGAGUUGGAUGGAAAAUCUAACGUGAUAAUUAAGUGGAAACAGUUUAUACAUAAGUAAAUACACACAAUACAUACUGAAAGGCAGUGUAGGUACUAAUUUGGAAUUCAAUCUAGAUACAGAGAAUUAGUUACAAAUCAGAACGAGCUUAGAUUUUUUGUAGUAUAUUUUUGUCCUGCCGUUGCUUAUUUUAGGAUCAAAUAUUCGUCACCCUCAGUAGCUAGUACGAAUUCCAUGUUGAUGUUGACUAGAAAUGAUUGAUGGUGUCCAAACACCAGGAUCAACUGGAGUUGGAGUUGGUAAAAGGAUGGAAUGUUGUUGAUAUUCAGGGAUCCAACUUGCACUCAGUUCUUUGUUGCCAAUGACUGCGUAGUAAUGAUUCUCUCGUCACUGACAUAUAAUUAAACAGAUUUAUUAUCUUCAAUACUCAAGUUUAAUUCGUGACGUAAAAAAACGAAAGAAGAGGGGCCAUAUAUAUGUAGAUAUAUAGUAGAAACAUCAUUGAAAUGUAGAGGCCUGAAAUGUAACCAUGUAUUCGAUCGUAAGCGUAUAUGGAUGUGUAAUUUACCUGCAGUUAGAGGCCUUGCUUGAGCAACACUGGUGGUGUAACUCCCAACGAUAGCAAACAUAACCAUAAGAAGGAACAAGAGGCAUCUCCUUGUUGAACAAGUCAUGUUGUUUAAUGAUACUUGAGCCAAGUGCAAUUAAGCUAUUU